rnacentral:rRNA from 1 species
GACGAACGCUGGCGGCGUGCUUAACACAUGCAAGUCGAACGGAAAGGCCCUGCUUUUGUGGGGUGCUCGAGUGGCGAACGGGUGAGUAACACGUGAGUAACCUGCCCUUGACUUUGGGAUAACUUCAGGAAACUGGGGCUAAUACCGGAUAGGAGCUCCUGCUGCAUGGUGGGGGUUGGAAAGUUUCGGCGGUUGGGGAUGGACUCGCGGCUUAUGAGCUUGUUGGUGGGGUAGUGGCUUACCAAGGCUUUGACGGGUAGCCGGCCUGAGAGGGGGAACGGGCACCAUGGGAAUUAGGUAGGGCCCAGUAGGCUAACGGGGGCAACAGGGGGGAAUAUUGCACAAUGGGCGGAAGCCUGAUGCAGCAACGCCGCGUGCGGGAUGACGGCCUUCGGGUGGUAAACCGCUUUCGCCUGUGACGAAGCGUGAGUGACGGUAAUGGGUAAAGAAGCACCGGCUAACUACGUG